UACAGAGGUCUCAAGCGUUGUUCGGAUUCAUUGGGCGUAAAGGGUGCGUAGGCGGCGCGGUAAGUCGGGUGUGAAAUCUCGGGGCUUAACUCCGAAACUGCAUUCGAUACUACCGUGCUUGAGGACUGGAGAGGAGACUGGAAUUUACGGUGUAGCGGUGAAAUGCGUAGAUAUCGAGAGGAACACCUGCGGCGAAGGCGGGUAGCUGGGGCCGACACUGACGCUGAGGCGCGAAAGCCAGGGGAGCGAACGGG
rnacentral:rRNA from 1 species